AGAGGAAGAGAAGACAUUUAGAUGGGCCCCAGCUCCUCCCCUUUGUGCCUAUUUGUGCUCUUACAUGGGUGGGGGGUGGGAAGCAGGGUCAGAUUCAGGAGCCACAGGCUCUAAAACGGGAUCCUGGUCCCUAGUGGCAGCAUCUUCAGCUUCAGGUUGGGCUGGGUGAUGCUAGGCCGGCAGGAAGCCUGGUCUCAGUGCUUCUCAGCCCCAUAAUUCAUGCUGGAAAUUGGCCGCCGUGUCCCGCCCCGGCCCCAGCGGUGAUGUAUGGGCGCCGUCGCAGUAAGAAAAAGGCAGAGUAAAUGUGUAAUUUCUCCCUUGACGGCCCCCGGCCGCUGGGCGAUCCUUCUUGUUGCCGCCGCGUGGGGACGGCCCGUCCGCCACACUCCGUCUUCCCGCCACCCGCCUUGAUGUCUCCAUUUCAUUACUGUGUGGCCAUUCAUCACGCCCAUGGCCAGGGUGACUUUGCCGGCACUUGCGUGUGUAGAUGUGGCCCAGACCAUAAUCACUGGUGACAAGGCACAAGCCUUGGCACUUCCAGUCCAGCGCUCUGGGAAACUCCCACCCUGGGGACAGGCUUAUGUGCUCCAACAGCAACCUGCCUGGGCACCUGCUCCUUUGCAGCCCAACAGGUGGAGAGGGUCCAGGUUUGUGGUCCUUUUAACACCCUGGCCAGCUGCUGUCUACUAGAUACACCUGUGUACGCCCCAGCCCUGCCUCUCGCACCUCAAGAAGCUCAAAGCUGGUGUUGGUCAGGCUUUAGCUGUGUCUCUGGCCGUAUCUCAGGUUAAAUAUGUAUGUGCCUGCCAGACCUUGUCAUAGCAGUUUCUCCAGUAUUGGUUCCGUGGGAAACAAAAACUGUCCUAGAACCCUGGUGGCUGCUGGAACAGGUACUCCAGGACCUCAGUAUCAUGGACGUGGGUUGGGACUUGUCCCACCACCACCAGCAGGAGGUGCAGCUGCCCAGCGUUUGUCCCUCUGUAGUAAGCCCAGGGCAGAAACGGCCCAAGUGCCUGGGUUUGUCUGUUCCACUGCCCAGAGCAGCCCUAACGCCCCGUCCCUUCACCUGCCUCUCCUCCCAUCCCUCUCCUACCUCCCAAAGAUGCUCCUGGGCCAUCACCAGGACCUCAGCUGCCACCAACCCUCAUGGGAUUGAUGCUGUGAUUGCAGAAGUAUCAUACAUUGAUGUCAUAAUCAGGUGUGUAGGGGGUGGUAAGGUCAAGGUGGGGUCAGAGGCCUCCACAUCUGUCAAGGACCAACCCCUUCCACUGAGGCCCACAGCCUGUCCUUUGCAGGACCUUAGACUAGAAAAGGGGACCCACCAGAGCUAGAAAAGGGCUGUGGGAGCGGGAGGAGUCGCUGGUCAGCCCAGGGCCUGUAUCAUUAGCCAGACACCAGCUCUGCAGACCCUGCUUAGGGCACAUAAGAUCUCUGGGUUGGGCCAGACAAGUCACACAGGGUUCUGUCUUGCAGAACUCAGUAUGAAUGUACCCAUGGUGGGUGUGGGCAUGGAGAGGUGACCCAGGACCCAGACACGGGGACACCUUGUUCCUGCAGGGACUCAGGAAGCCACAAGGGCGGGUCUGAGGCAGAACAGUGGGAAGACAGAUGGAUAGGUAGUGGCGGCCAUGGCAACUCCAGACGUGACCCAUCCCCGUGGUUUAUGGGCCGGACACGCGCCCCGCUCAGCUGAGGCCCCAUCAUUUGUCUCCCUUAGUGUGUAUGCCUGUGCUGUGGGGGUAGAGGGUGGAGGGAGGGGGCUUUGACAGGAGGAGCUUGGCAGUUGACAGGAAGGGGAACCGGGCAGGAAGAGCUGUGCAAGAGGGGUGGGGGUGGGGAUGGGACAGGAGGCCCCCGGGAGGAGGGAGGGUUACCAGAGGGCCCAGGCGCUGUGAUGGCACUAUCAAAAGGGCUACAGUAGGGUGAUUUUCUUCCCAAAUAACUCUGGCCUCGUCAGGGCACCUCCAAUCCUUCCUAUCUCCUGCACUCUGGGGACCAUGGCCGCUGUGCAUAUUAAGAAUAAGUCCCCUCGUUAUCUGCAAUUACCCAGUGGCCACACACCUCAUUUCUUCCAGCAGAAAAGAAAAUUAGUUUUCUAUUGACUUCAUCUGGCUCCUCCCUCAUUGCUGGUUAAAUCGCUCAAUCUACCUCCCCCUGGCCCAAGUGAAUGUGCCCAGCCCCUCCCCGCAGGCCUCCAGCCAUCCAGUGGGUGAGCACUGACCUCCCACUUGUGCCUGGCCCUGAGCCGGGAAAAGGUCCAUGUGCCCCAGUCUCUGUCCUUGGCCUCUCCCCACGCUACACACUGGAUGUUUCACCCCGAUCCUGAGACCUUCAACUAGCCCUGAAGAUCACCACCAUCCCCAGCCUGGACCUCUGCUGGAGCUCCAGACCACAGAUCCAAACGCCUCUGGAACAUCACUUUUCUAGAUAUCCAUACAAACUCAAAACAUCCAGUAAUGAACUAAUUUUCUCCCCCAAGGUUCUUCAGUCCCCUGUGUUCUCCAUCCCAGUGAACGACACCCCAAAAUGCCCAAAAAGAAACUUGAGAGUCAGGCUUGACACCUUGCCCUCUCCCUCACUCCCUAAAUCUGAUCAAAUAUGAACUGAAGAUGAUUUUAUCUUCUGCCUGAUCAUCCACUACCCUUCCUUCUAGAAGCUGCCCCAGGCCAGACCCUGCCAUCUCUUGCUCUUAGGACAACAGCUUGUCCUCCUUUUCUUCCCUCCAAUUCAUUCUCUUGUAGCCAAAGUGAUCUUUCAUAUACAAAUCUGAUCAUGUCCUUUUCUCUUUAAAUCCCUUCUGCGGUCCCCUUGCCCCCACUUUCAAGUUUACAUGCUUUAAUAUGACUUACAGGUAAAGGCCCUACAAAAGCGGGUUCCGGCUACCUCUGGUCUCACCUCUACCACUCUCUACCCCAAUCCCCAUAUUCCAGUCUCAAGGAACCACUUAGUGUUCUCUGAAAAUGCCAUGGUGGGUUUUGGAGUCACACAGACCGGUUCCCAGUCUUAAUUUUGCCCAUUGGCUGCGUGCCCUGCGGCAGGUGCUUGACUUCUUUGGACUUCAGGUUCCUGCACUAGGGGUGACAAUGGAUGCCCCCCCCCCCCCGGUGUCAUUGUGAGGACUGAACAGGUGAUACACCCACAUGCCUUUGCACAUGCUUCAUGUUUGGAAUACCUCUUCUCUUCUUGAAGGGAAGGCAAGGAUGCUAAUUUUAUGGAUGACCCAAUGGUGAGAAAGUGUAUACUGUACAAUCUAUAGCAUAGAUGACAUAGAGGCCAGCACAUUUAAUGAAACUAAUUGUCAUUCACUUCACAAACUGACUGCUGAUCCUGUGUACUGGGCAUUCUGGAGUCUAACUUGUUGCAGCUGGUCCAUUAUAAAGAAGAAAGAGAGACCCAGAUUGGGGAAGACAAUUGUUCCAGUUCACCCAGCAAGAUAGUGGUAUGGCAGUUAUGGGCUUCCAGCCCAGGCUCUUUUUCUAGUCCUUGAAGCCUUCAUAAAAGUCAAUGCUACCUCCUGAUGAGUUUAAAGUCAAUGGCACAGUUAGAAAAUGAAGAAAACUGGGCAGAAGCAGCACAGAGACAAAUCUGGGGCUUUAAUAGGCCGUAAGUUCAGAGAGACAGCAGCACAUGGUGACAACCUGGCCUCUUGGAGAGUCCUCUUAUUGAAGCCCUGGGCCACCUGGGUCAGCAGCCCCACCUGCUGGCACCACUCACUGAGCUAAUGAGGCCAGCCUGAAGCUGUUAUGGGGAAGUGGUGGGAAGGGUGGGGGCCCACAUUAGAGGUCUCCAAGAGCAGGUCUUCCUCACCUCCAAAUUCUAGAAGACAAAUCUGUUCUUAUGUUCCUGCAGGGUCAUCAACUUGAGACAAGAUGACACUCUUCUCUUCUUAUCUGGGCAUGAAUAGUCUUCACUUUGGAAAUAUUUUUAUAUUGCCAAGACUAUAAUGGGAGGGGUGCAGCUGCAUCAAUCCCUCAGAGAGGUGAAAGCAUACCAACUCAUACAGAAUGUAAAAGGCAGGAAAGAGAAGGACAUAACAAGUGGACUCUAUAACGUAAACUUGGCAGAAUGGAGGAGGUAGGGCAAAGGGCAACGAGGACACUGCUAUUUCAGGCUAGGAAGCUGGUAACCCUUGUUAUGCUCUCUCCAAACAUUUGAUCAAAUUGUUUCUUUCUAUAUCUCAGGACGCUUGCCACGUUGCUAAGAAGGCUAAGAGAGUCAAGUUUAGACAGGAACCCACGUGAAAACAGAGAGAGAAGAAAAUACAACUUUACUAAGAAAGGUUUUUCUUAUGUCUAUAGGUUGUAAUCUAAGUUGAUUAAAAGUCCACAGCACCACAAA